UCCAGCUGUUUUGGGACUACAGUUCCCAUCAUCGCUGAUCACUGGUCCUGUUAGAUAGAGAUGGUGGGAGUUGUUGUCCCAAAACAGCUGGA
rnacentral:miRNA from 1 species